rnacentral:rRNA from 1 species
GACGAACGCUGGCGGCGUGCUUAACACAUGCAAGUCGAACGAUGAACCCGGAGCUUGCUCCGGUGGAUUAGUGGCGAACGGGUGAGUAACACGUGAGUAACCUGCCCUUGACUCUGGGAUAACUGCGGGAAACUGUAGCUAAUACCGGAUACGACCCUCGGCGGCAUCGCCAGGGGGUGGAAGGAAUUUCGGUCAAGGAUGGACUCGCGGCCUAUCAGCUAGUUGGUGAGGUAACGGCUCACCAAGGCGACGACGGGUAGCCGGCCUGAGAGGGUGACCGGCAGCACUGGGACUGAGACACGGCCCAGACUCCUACGGGAGGAAGCAGUGGGGAAUAUUGCACAAUGGGCGCAAGCCUGAUGCAGCAACGCCGCGUGAGGGAUGACGGCCUUCGGGUUGUAAACCUCUUUUAGUAGGGAAGAAGCGAAAGUGACGGUACCUGCAGAAAAAGCACCGGCUAACUACGUGCCAGCCGCCGCCGUAA